rnacentral:rRNA from 1 species
UGGGGAUCUUGCACAAUGGAGGAACUCUGAUGCAGCGAUGCCGCGUGAGUGAAGAAGGCCUUUGGGUUGUAAAGCUCUUUCGUCGGGGAAGAAAAUGACUGUACCCGAAUAAGAAGGUCCGGCUAACUUCGUGCCAGCAGCCGCGGUAAUACGAAGGGACCUAGCGUAGUUCGGAAUUACUGGGCUUAAAGAGUUCGUAGGUGGUUGAAAAAGUUGGUGGUGAAAUCCCAGAGCUUAACUCUGGAACUGCCAUCAAAACUUUUCAGCUAGAGUUUGAUAGAGGAAAGCAGAAUUUCUAGUGUAGAGGUGAAAUUCGUAGAUAUUAGAAAGAAUACCAAUUGCGAAGGCAGCUUUCUGGAUCAUUACUGACACUGAGGAACGAAAGCAUGGGUAGCGAAGAGGAUUAGAUACCCUCGUAGUCCAUGCCGUAAACGAUGUGUGUUAGACGUUGGAAAUUUAUUUUCAGUGUCGCAGCGAAAGCGAUAAACACACCGCCUGGGGAGUACGACCGCAAGGUUAAAACUCAAAUGAAUUGACGGGGACCCGCACAAGUAGUGGAGCAUGUGGUUUAAUUCGAAGAUACGCGCAGAACCUUACCAACACUUGACAUGUUCGUCGCGACUUUAAGAGAUUAAAGUUUUCGGUUCGGCCGGACGAAACACAGGUGCUGCAUGGCUGUCGUCAGCUCGUGUCGUGAGAUGUUGGGUUAAGUCCCGCAACGAGCGCAACCCUCACUUUUAGUUGCCAUCAUUUAGUUGGGCACUCUGAAAGAACUGCCAGUGAUAAGCUGGAGGAAGGUGGGGAUGACGUCAAGUCCUCAUGGCCCUUACGUGUUGGGCUACACACGUGCUACAAUGGUAUCUACAACAGGAAGCAAGACGGCGACGUUAAGCAAAUCCUCAAAAGAUACCUCAGUUCGGAUUGCACUCUGCAACUCGAGUGCAUGAAGCUGGAAUUACUAGUAAUCGUGGAUCAGCGUGCCACGGUGAAUGCGUUCCCGGGUCUUGUACACACCGCCCGUCACACCAUGGGAGUUGGUUCUACCUUAAGGCAAGGUUUUAUACCCUUGACCACGGUAUAGUCAGCGACUGGGGUGAAGUCGUAACAAGGUAGCCGUAGGGGAACCUGCGGCUG